UACGUAGGGGGCAAGCGUUGUCCGGAUUUAUUGGGCGUAAAGAGCGUGUAGGCGGCUAGAUAGGUCCGUUGUGAAAACUCGAGGCUCAACCUCGAGACGUCGAUGGAAACCAUCUGGCUAGAGUCCGGAAGAGGAGAGUGGAAUUCCUGGUGUAGUGGUGAAAUGCGCAGAUAUCAGGAAGAACACCCGUGGCGAAGGCGGCUCUCUGGUACGUGACUGACGCUGAGACGCGAAAGCGUGGGGAGCGAACAGG
rnacentral:rRNA from 1 species